rnacentral:rRNA from 1 species
GCGNNAAUUCGAUUAGAGUUUGAUCCUGGCUCAGGAUUAACGCUAGCGGCAGGCCUAAUACAUGCAAGUCGAACGGUAACAGGUCCAGCAAUGGAUGCUGACGAGUAGCGCACGGGUGCGUAACACGUAUGCAAUCUACCCUUGACUGGGGGAUAGCCCCGAGAAAUCGGGAUUAAUACCCCAUAUAAUUACGAUGAGGCAUCUCAUUGUAAUCAAAGCUCCGGCGGUCUUGGAUGAGCAUGCGCGACAUUAGCUAGUUGGUGAGGUAACGGCUCACCAAGGCUGCGAUGUCUAGGGGUUCUGAGAGGAUUCACCCCCACACUGGUACUGAGACACGGACCAGACUCCUACGGGAGGCAGCAGUAAGGAAUAUUGGUCAAUGGACGCAAGUCUGAACCAGCCAUGCCGCGUGCAGGAUGACAGCCCUACGGGUUGUAAACUGCUUUUGUACGGGAAAAAACCUUCGGUCGUGAACCGGAGCUGAUGGUACCGUAAGAAUAAGCAUCGGCUAACUCCGUGCCAGCAGCCGCGGUAAUACGGAGGAUGCGAGCGUUAUCCGGAUUCAUUGGGUUUAAAGGGUGCGCAGGCGGAAUGGUAAGUCAGUGGUGNNNNCCUACAGCUUAACUGUAGAAUUGCCAUUGAUACUGUCAUUCUUG